UGUUGGAAAACACCCAAAGAUUGUUGGAAAAUACACAAAAAUCCACCAGGCAAAUUGACAUCUUUUGCCUUGUCAAUUUCCCUAACAUUGGGUUACUUCCCAUGCCCUCAGUCUUCUCCUGAGGCCAGGCUCUGAUACUGCUCAAUUAAGGUAGAAAGAAAUCAAUCCUGGAGGUGACCUAUGAAAUCCAUACAAUAAAUAGUCAACUCUCAUUCAGUCAUGCUGGAAGUUUCUAACAUCCGUCUAGGAGAAAUUUUAGAUUAGUCCGGUUAGUAAAAUGGACUUUCCCACUCUAAAACACGGAUCUUAAAACCUGUCCUCUUGUUUUCAUAUGAUUUUUUUUUUCCCCCAAAAUCAAGCCCUUUUCAUUAAGCUCUUUUAUGAAAACAGAAUGUGGAAAUGAACGUAAGUUAUUAGGUGAGCUGAAUUUCUCACGGCCUGCUUCCUCAUUCUUUUCAGCACUUGACCCUAUACAUCUCAUCCAAACAGCCUAUUUAAUGAGCUGUUACCUUGAUGACACAGUAAAUAGAACACUUAUUAAGUGCAGUCUCCUCACUUGCGAUAAAAACGAACUUCUCAGUAGCUGCACACCCUUUCCAGACCUUCAUGUUCUUCAGUACUGAUGUGCCUUUCAGAAAUACCGGAGCGCUUUGCCUGUGGGCACGCUCUCUGACCCACGUGGCGUCCAUGUGUUUAAGUCGAGGGUGGGAAAGAAUACACGUCUUGAUCACGGAAACCUUUAUAUAGUCAACUCUAAAUUAUUUUUGCUGAUCGAAGUAUAUAAGGUGAGCUCUCGAAACAUUUGCUGCAUGUGUCCCUGCAGAAGUGCUAGGUUCUUUAGAAUGUGGGAGACACCUCUCUAGGCAGACUUUGGGGGAACUAUCAGCACCCCAGCAGACAUUUGCUUGCCAUCUGUGAAACUGUGCUGUCCGUCUCUGGAAAAGGAGUUUGAUGUGAAGUAGUUCUUAAAUAGUUUAUGUAAACUACCAUGUUAUUUUUAUUUUCUUUUUACCUGUUUGCAUUUAAUUUAGUCACAGACUUGUGUCUGGGGGGGGGGUGUCUUAAAGAUAACAAAGGCCUUCUAUGAAAAUAAUAAAUUAUCUUUAUAGAGUUUAUAUAGAGAGAUAAGAGACAGAGGGAGACACAGAAUCCGAAGCAGGCUCCAGGCUCUGAGCUGUCAGCACAGAGCCCGAAGCAGGGCUCAAGCCCCCGGGCCGUGAGAUC